GACGGAGGGUGCAAGCGUUGUUCGGAUUGACUGGGCGUAAAGGGCGUGUAGGCGGUCGGCCAAGUCUGAUGUGAAAGCCCGAGGCUCAGCCUCGGAAGUGCGUCGGAAACUAGUCGGCUGGAGCGCGAUAGAGGAGGGUGGAAUUCCUGGUGUAGCGGUGAAAUGCGUAGAUAUCAGGAGGAAUACCGGCGGCGAAGGCGGCCCUCUGGAUCGUUGCUGACGCUGAGACGCGAAAGCGUGGGGAGCAAACAGG
rnacentral:rRNA from 1 species